GACGAACGCUGGCGGCGCGCUUAACACAUGCAAGUCGAACGGAAAGGCCUGCUUUCCCUUGUGGAUUGCGGGUACUCGAGUGGCGAACGGGUGAGUAACACGUGAGUGAUCUGCCCCCAACUUGGGUAUAAGCCUGGGAAACUGGGUCUAAUUCCCGAUAGGACUGCAGGGUGGUGCCUGUGGUGGAAAACGAUUUUCUAGUGGUUGGGGAUGAGCUCGCGGCCUAUCAGCUUGUUGGUGGGGUAAUGGCCUACCAAGGCGGCGACGGGUAGCCGGCCUGGGAGGGUGGACGGCCACAUUGGGACUGAGAUACGGCCCAGACUACUACGGGAGGCAGCAGUGGGGAAUAUUACACAAUGGGCGGAAGCCUGAUGCAGCGACGCCGCGUGGGGGAUGACGGGCUUCGGGUUGUAAACUCCUUUCGACCGCGAGGAAGCCACCUGGUUGGAAGGGUGGUGACGGUAGUGGUAGAAGAAGCACCGGCUAACUACGUG
rnacentral:rRNA from 1 species